CCCUUAGAUGUUCUGGGCCGCACGCGUGCUACACUGAGUGGAUCAGCGGGUCAGGUUGCGCGAAAGUGUUUCCUAAUCUUGAAAUCCGCUCGUGAUGGGGAUUGACGGUUGCAAUUUUCCGUCAUGAACGAGGAAUACCUUGUAAGCGCGGGUCAUCAUCCCGCGCUGAAUACGUCCCUGCCCUUUGUACACACCGCCCGUCGCUCCUACCGAUUGAGUGGUCCGGUGAGGCUUUGGGAUCUGAGCGGAAAGAGCGUUUCGCUGUUUCUGCUCGGAAAACUCAGUCGAACCUUAUCAUUUGGAGGAAGGAGAAGUCGUAACA
rnacentral:rRNA from 1 species